rnacentral:rRNA from 1 species
AACCGUUCGGAGGUAAACGAGUGGGCCCUCGAAGUGUGAAGGCGGGGGGACUCAGCCGAACGCCUUCGAGCCCGCCGGCGAGAACGCGCUUCCCUCCCGGGACGCGGUUCGCCGGUGCGCUGGCUCGGGUGUGCGGCGCAUUUCCUCCCGUCCUCCGACGCCGCGACCGGUCGGGCGCGCCACGAGCAGUCGGCCUUACUCGCGGGAAACGGAAGGUAGCCGGGUCGGCGCUUCGGCGUCGUUCCCCGGUGUUUAGCCGUCCCGCAAUCGAGUCAGCCGUUCGCCCGACCGCAGGAUCCGUGGCCCUCAGGGGCCCUGCCGCGCCCUCCCCUCUUCCUGGGGAUCGCUUCCCGCCUCGGAAGGGAUGCCGCUUGUUCCGCGCCGCACCUCCGGUGCACGCGGGACGGCGGCGCCCGCUGGCCGGGGCGGUUGCGAUUCGGGCGCCGGCGGUCCGCGGCGAGUAGGUCGGUCACCCACUCGACCCGUCUUGAAACACGGACCAAGGAGUUUAACAUGCACGCGAGUCACUGGGUCGUGAGCAGGCCCAAGGGCGCAAUGAAAGUGAAGGGCGGCCCAUUGCCGUCCGCGUUGGGAUCCUCCGGUCUCCAAUCAGAUGCCGGGGGCGCACCAACGGCUCGUCCAGGCCGCCACGUCGGCCGGGCGAAGCUAGAGCGUGCACGUUGAGACCCGAAAGAUGGUGAACUAUGGCUGGGCAGGACGAAGCCAGAGGAAACUCUGGUGGAGGUCCGCAGCGGUUCUGACGUGCAAAUCGAUCGUCAGACCUGGCUAUAGG